UGGUGGAGUGAUUUGUCUGGUUAAUUCCGAUAACGAACGAGACUCUAGCCUGCUAAAUAGACGGGCGAUCCCUUCGUGGGUCGACCCGAUUUGCUUCUUAGAGGGACAAGUGGUGUUCCUAGCCACGCGAAAUUGAGCAAUAACA
rnacentral:rRNA from 1 species